GAUGAACGCUGGCGGCGUGCCUAAUACAUGCAAGUCGAGCGAACAGACGAGGAGCUUGCUCCUCUGACGUUAGCGGCGGACGGGUGAGUAACACGUGGAUCACCUCCCUAUAAGACUGGGAUAACUUCGGGACACCGGCGCUAAUACCGUAUAAUAUAUUGCACCGCAUGGUUCAAUAGUGAAAGACGGUUUUGCUGUCACUUAUAGAUGGAUCUGCGCCGCAUUAGCUAGUUGGUAAGUUAACGGCUUACCACGGCAACGAUGCGUAGCCGACCUGAGAGGGUGAUCGGCCGCACUGGAACUGAGACACGGUCCAGACUCCUACGGGAGGCAGCAGUAGGGAAUGUGCCGCAAUGGGCGAAAGCCUGACGGAGCAACGCCGCGUGAGUGAUGAAGGUCUUCGGAUCGUAAAACUCUGUUAUUAGGGAAGAACAAAUGUGUAAGUAACUAUGCACGUCGUGACGGUACCUGAUCAGAAAGCCACGGCUAACUACGUG
rnacentral:rRNA from 1 species